UCCGUUGUAGCAAUACGAUGGAAAGUCUAGUGGCGAACGGGUGCUUAACACGUGGGCAACCUGCCAGGAAGUGGGGGAUAGCUCGCCGAAAGGCGAAUUAAUACCGCAUGUGAUUAGAGAGGACAUCCUUUCGAAAUUAAAGUCGGGGCAACCUGACGCUUCUUGUGGGGCCCGCGGCCUAUCAGCUAGUUGGUGAGGUAACAGCUCACCAAGGCUUUGACGGGUAGCUGGUCUGAGAGGACGACCAGCCACACUGGGACUGAGACACGGCCCAGACACCUACGGGUGGCAGCAGUCGAGAAUUUUUGACAAUGGGGGAAACCCUGAUCGAGCGACGCCGCGUGGAGGAUGAAGGUCUUCGGAUUGUAAACUCCUGUCAUUGGGGAACAAGGUGCAUACGUUAACUGCAUGUGCAUUGAUAGUACCCGAAGAGGAAGAGACGGCUAACUCUGUGCCAGCAGCCGCGGUAAUACAGAGGUCUCAAGCGUUGUUCGGAUUCAUUGGGCGUAAAGGGUGCGUAGGCGGCGCGGUAAGUCGGGUGUGAAAUCUCGGAGCUUAACUCCGAAACUGCAUUCGAUACUGCCGUGCUUGAGGACUGGAGAGGAGACUGGAAUUCUCGGUGUAGCA
rnacentral:rRNA from 1 species